GGUUAAACUCAUCAUGUAGCUGUUCUCUGAUCUGACAGCUCACGGCGAGUCGAUUCCGUGGGAGAACGAGUCUGGCGCGUGGGCACGAGCUGCUAGCAGAAAAGGAAGCUCACGUUGAAAUUCUCUAUGCACUAUUAUUGUCACCUGCUAGAACAGAGCCUUUGUCUGACACAAUAUGCAAAGGGGGGCUAAGCAUGAACAGGAGAUGCUUUUAAGGGUGCUAGUAUCCAAGCCUUACAUAUCUGACUCGAAGACAAAUUUAUAAUGUAGUUACACAUGACAUUCGCAUAUUUCACCUACAAUUGUUUUAUGGUUUCAGGCAAAAAUCAUUAGAACUAAACAGAAAGCGGUUUUUGCAUGGAGCUAUAGAAAGUGGGAAAACCUAAACGUGGCGUCAAUGCCCAGUAACUGACGCAGACCUGAAACGAAAAAAAAAACUAUUUUUCUUGUCAGCAAGCUUUAAUUAUAACAUAUGUAAGGUGUUCAGUAGGAAAAAUAAAAAGUACAAACAUUACAACUGCAGCAUUUGAAUGGAUCAUGUAAGCAUUGGCCGUUCUGUGUGUGUUGAUACAAACAACAAAUCAGCCUAGGGUUUUCCGGCGAAAGUUCUGCGAGGACGAGAGGACUGUACGACUAAGGAUUAGCCAUAUACGGUGGAAGACAUGCAAAACGAACCUGAAAUAACUUAAAUACCGACACUGCGCGCUCAGGUAGACAUCAUCCGGGUUUGAUCGCGCUCCAGAAAUAGACAGAGGGUAUCACUUGUAUAAAAAGGAACGUGAUUCUCAGGAAAACUUGGACUUGCUGCCGAGGAUAGGAAUCGCUCAGAAGGGUUCCCUUUCUUGGUCCGAAAUCAGUAUUUCCAUUUGAAGAAGGAUGACCAUCUCAGGAGCUUGGAAAUGUCCGUAAAAUCAAGGGAGUCCAUUGUUUUCGCAUGUUCAUACAGAGUUGAGGUCCUGUGUCCGUGGGUGUUCUCCACCCUGCCUCCGGUGUCCUGGUGUCCUUGCGUUGAGUGCUGAUGAGUCAGUGGAGGUGUGAGGGGUCAGUCAGCGCCAGCGUCCCUCCCAUCCUCAGUCACAACAUGAUGGCCACUAAGGGAGAGAUACAAGACCAACCGAGACAAAGUGUCCAUUUACAGACGGUCUGUCCUUUCAUCCUGUGAGGACAAAGCAAGUACAGUGCACACGCACACGCACACACAUGCAGAGAGAGAGAGAGAGAAAGAAACCUGUCCACACGAAAAAAUCUAGAGAUGUCCAGAAAAGAUUUGCAGUUUGUGAAUAGAUUUGCAAUUUGUGAAAUGUAACACACAAAGGGUCAAUGUUACGGCAGUCUUAGGCAAAGGAAGUCAAACAUGUUCUGGAGUAAAUAUUCUUUAAUUUAAAUGUUUGUUUUCAUGUGAUUUUUUUCUCGUGAUGCAGUUUUUCUCACUGAUAUGAGUCUCUUUAUAGGUUCUGUGGAACAAACGUUCAUAGUGCCUGCUUGUUUCCCCUCAAAGGAUCACAGGUGGUAGCCUAAAGUUGAUGUUGGUGCAUACGGAAGUGCAAUACAUUGUAAAAGGCUCGAACUAUUUUAAAAUGGUUUUGUAGAUUUGUAAUGGUAUAGACUAGGAUAUAUUUUAAAACCGACAUUGAAAUGUUACAAAUUCUAUCCAAUGAAAUGAAAGGGAAUUAGUAAGUUGCUUCCAUGAAAUGCAUGAAUAGGUUUUAGUCUCGGCUGGUGUAUUCAGUAAUUUAGAGCAGUUUGUUUAGUAUAGAAUUUGUCGAUGGUGCAUAGCAAGUAUAACCCCCAUCAUAAAUGUUUGACUGUGGCAUGCUGCAUUUAUUUGUUUGAUGUGUUUUAACUUUAAUAAACUUUAUGAUCUCUCA